AUUGAACGCUGGCGGCAGGCUUAACACAUGCAAGUCGAGCGAGUGGCGGACGGGUGAGUAAUGUCUGGGAAACUGCCUGAUGAAGGGGGCUAACUCCUGGAACCGGUAGCUAAUACCGCACACCAUCAGAUGUGCCCAGAUGGGUUGAGCUAGUCGGUGGGGUAAUGGCUCACCUAGGCGACGAUCCCUAGCUGGUCUGAGAGGAUGACCGGACACACGUGAACUGAGACACGGUCCAGACUACUACGGGAGGCAGAAGUGGGGAAGAUGGCACAAUGGGCGCAAGCAUGAUGCAGCCAAGCAGCGGGUGUGAAGAAGGCCUUCGGGUUGUAAAGCACUUUCAGCGAGGAGGCGUUACUCGCAGAAGAAGCAACGGCUAACACCGUGCCAGCAGCCGCGGUAAUAC
rnacentral:rRNA from 1 species